CCCAGACUCCUACGGGAGGCAGCAGUGGGGAAUAUUGCACAAUGGGCGAAAGCCUGAUGCAGCGACGCCGCGUGAGGGAUGACGGCCUUCGGGUUGUAAACCUCUUUCAGCAGGGAAGAAGCGAAAGUGACGGUACCUGCAGAAGAAGCGCCGGCUAACUACGUGCCAGCAGCCGCGGUAAUACGUAGGGCGCAAGCGUUGUCCGGAAUUAUUGGGCGUAAAGAGCUCGUAGGCGGCUUGUCACGUCGGUUGUGAAAGCCCGGGGCUUAACCCCGGGUCUGCAGUCGAUACGGGCAGGCUAGAGUUCGGUAGGGGAGAUCGGAAUUCCUGGUGUAGCGGUGAAAUGCGCAGAUAUCAGGAGGAACACCGGUGGCGAAGGCGGAUCUCUGGGCCGAUACUGACGCUGAGGA
rnacentral:rRNA from 1 species